UUCUAGCGAGCCCAACCUCCCACCCGUGUUUACUGUACCUUAGUUGCUUCGGCGGGCCCGCCAUUCGUGGCCGCCGGGGGCUCUCAGCCCCGGGCCCGCGCCCGCCGGAGACACCACGAACUCUGUCUGAUCUAGUGAAGUCUGAGUUGAUUGUAUCGCAAUCAGUUAAAACUUUCAACAAUGGAUCUCUUGGUUCCGGCAUCGAUGAAGAACGCAGCGAAAUGCGAUAACUAGUGUGAAUUGCAGAAUUCCGUGAAUCAUCGAGUCUUUGAACGCACAUUGCGCCCCCUGGUAUUCCGGGGGGCAUGCCUGUCCGAGCGUCAUUGCUGCCCAUCAAGCACGGCUUGUGUGUUGGGUCGUCGUCCCCUCUCCGGGGGGGACGGGCCCCAAAGGCAGCGGCGGCACCGCGUCCGAUCCUCGAGCGUAUGGGGCUUUGUCACCCGCUCUGUAGGCCCGGCCGGCGCUUGCCGAACGCAAAUCAAUCUUUUUCCAGGUUGACCUCGGAUCAGGUAGGGAUACCCGCUGAACUUAACCAUAUCAAUAA
rnacentral:rRNA from 1 species